UUAACUUUAAACCAAUUUUUAAUAGCCUUCAAUUGACAUAUUUAAGAAUGUGGUUUUAUCAAUAACAGCUCUAACAACAGUGUCAAACAGAGCUUUACUCUCUGCUAAAGGUGUAACCUGCCUCCAAGCAUUAGGCACUUUAGUUUAACUGGUUCUUUAUGUUAUAUGCUUCAGACAUUCAUUUAAAACAUUGUGGUAAUAGGUU
rnacentral:misc_RNA from 1 species